rnacentral:tRNA from 3 species
CAGAGUGUAGCUAAAAUAGGAAAGCACCUCCCUUACACCGAGAAGACAUCCGUGCAAAUCGGGUCACCCUG